AUGACGCCGGAGCCCAGCCCGUGGGCCGACCUCACGCGCGACCUCCUCCUAGACAUCUCCGGCCGUCUGCACGACGUUAUUGACUUCGUCCGCUUCCACGCCGUCUGCAAGCCAUGGCGCGCCACCGCGGCGCAGCGCUCCCCUGCAGCGUCGCCGUGGAUCCUCGGGCUUUCCAACAACAACCGCAUCAUCCACUGCACCGCCGUAAACUUGGCCUCUCCUUGCAAAACAUUGAGCGACCGCGACUUCGACCUAGAGGCGCCGCUGCCGGGCACAUCGUCCUACGGCGGUAGGAGGAAGAGCAGGAACUGGGUUGGCAGGGCAGACGGCAUGAACGCGUCUAUUUUCGUCAUGGGUCCCGAACCUAGACUCGUCGACCUUUACACAGGAGCGGUCACUCCAUUGCGUCCCCUCCCGGAGCUUGAUGAUGAGGAAAUCAGGCGGUCAAUGGAGAAUGUUCACGGCAUCGUCUACGGCGAUGGCACCGUCUUUCUGUACAGUUCAUCGUACACAUGGAGGUCCGUUUUCACGGCAGCCGUUCUGCGCCCCGGUGACGCGGCACGGACGGUCAUGAAAAUGAACCCCAAGGCCGGAGAUGAUCGCGAAUCUUGCGCAGCGUAUCACGGAGGCAAGGUCCUGCUGGACAUGGGCAUGAGCUCUUGGUGUGUGGUAACGCAGGAGGGACUCGGCUGCUCCGUGAGGUGUGACCCGAUCGCCAGAUUCAAGCGUGUUCACGUUGAGAACUACGUCCUUCAGUCGAAUGGCAAGCUGCUAUGGGUAUCCGUCCAUGCUGAUAUUGACUGGUACAUUGGAAUCAGUGGUGGCUCGUAUCCGGAUAUGUGGGUGAUGGUGCAAGCGCUGGAAGAAGAAGCCGGUGGUGAGAAUAUGCGUUGGGUGACGAUGGACACCCGUAGCUUGGGUGAUCGUGUCUUGUUCCUUGGCUACCCAACCAGCUUCGCCAUGGACUCCUGCCAGCUAUCUAUGGAUGGUGGAUGCGCCUACUUCGUUUUCCAAUAUUGGAUGUUGAGGUAUAGGUUCGACGAUGGCGAGACCGAGAGCGUGAUGUACCAUCCUCUUACACGGACCGACGCACAUGUGUGGCUCCGACCCCAACCUCCAAUUGCCCCGAUGACCGAAAUUCAAAAGAGACUGGAAGCUCGAUUCAAAUUAAAAUAA
rnacentral:rRNA from 1 species